UACGUAGGGUGCAAGCGUUGUCCGGAAUUAUUGGGCGUAAAGAGCUCGUAGGCGGUCUGUCGCGUCGGCUGUGAAAACCUGGGGCUCAACUCCGGGCCUGCAGCCGAUACGGGCAGACUAGAAUUCGGUAGGGGAGACUGGAAUUCCUGGUGUAGCGGUGAAAUGCGCAGAUAUCAGGAGGAACACCGGUGGCGAAGGCGGGUCUCUGGGCCGAUAUUGACGCUGAGGCGCGAAAGCGUGGGGAGCAAACGGG
rnacentral:rRNA from 1 species